rnacentral:rRNA from 1 species
UACAGAGGUCUCAAGCGUUGUUCGGAAUUACUGGGCGUAAAGGGUGCGCAGGCCGCGCGGCAGUCAAAUGUGUAAUCCAGGGGCUCAACCCCUGAACUGCGCUUGAUACUUCCGCGCUCGAGCUUUGGAGAGGAGUCUGGAAUUCUCGGUGUAGCAGUGAAAUGCGUGGAUAUCGAGAAGAACACUUAGGGCGUAGGCAAGACUCUGGGACAAAUGCUGACGCUCAUGCACGAAGCUAGGGUAGCGAACGGG